AUUGAACGCUGGCGGCAUGCUUUACACAUGCAAGUCGAACGGCAGCGCGGGCUUCGGCCUGGCGGCGAGUGGCGAACGGGUGAGUAAUGCAUCGGAACGUGCCCAGUAGUGGGGGAUAGCCCGGCGAAAGCCGGAUUAAUACCGCAUACGACCUGAGGGUGAAAGCGGGGGACCGAAAGGCCUCGCGCUAUUGGAGCGGCCGAUGUCGGAUUAGCUAGUUGGUGGGGUAAAGGCUUACCAAGGCGACGAUCCGUAGCUGGUCUGAGAGGACGACCAGCCACAUUGGGACUGAGACACGGCCCAGACUCCUACGGGAGGCAGCAGUGGGGAAUUUUGGACAAUGGGGGCAACCCUGAUCCAGCCAUGCCGCGUGCGGGAAGACGGCCUUCGGGUUGUAAACCGCUUUUGUUCGGGAAGAAAUCCUCUGGGCUAAUACCCCGGGGGGAUGACGGUACCGGAAGAAUAAGCACCGGCUAACUACGUG
rnacentral:rRNA from 1 species